UGAGCAACCUGCCUUUCAGAGGGGGAUAACAGUUGGAAACGACUGCUAAUACCGCAUAACGCUGCGAUGGGGCAUCCCGAUGCAGCCAAAGGAGCAAUCCGCUGGAAGAUGGGCUCGCGGCCGAUUAGCUAGUUGGUGGGGCAACGGCCCACCAAGGCGACGAUCGGUAGCCGGACUGAGAGGUUGAUCGGCCACAUUGGGACUGAGACACGGCCCAGACUCCUACGGGAGGCAGCAG
rnacentral:rRNA from 1 species